ensembl:lncRNA
UAUAUAUAUUAUAUUAUAUUACUUCCGGUCUUUCGUUGUUCUUGGAAGUCAACAAAGUUGACCCCGAAAUCGAAACCGCCGCUAGCUGCAGUCAGUUAGAACAACCAGAGGCGCGACAUGCAGCGGAGAAACCUGCGCCUGUGGAGGACCACCACUGUGUCCCUAAAAGGCCGUGGUUUAGAAAAGUCCUGGCUAAAUGUGGGGAGAUUGUUGGCACUUCAAACAUAGCCGUCACAUGAUGGACAGGUGACAGCAAAGAGUACGAGGAGAGCAGGUAGAGUCGUUAGUUCAACAUGUUACACCCGGUGGAAUUCUGCCUUGUAGAUGGUAAAAUGUGUCUAGUUUUGUGUAUAAAAUAAAAUUAAACAGUGUCUAAAAUACACACUUUCUAAAGUGAUUACUCAUUACAUGUAAGAUUCCGUCACUAGAAGAAAAACAAACUUUUAAUCGCAAUAAAUCUUGAUUAAUUAUUUUUUAAAUGUGUGAUUAAUUAGUUAAUUUCUUUAAAUCUAUUGACAGGCCUAAUUUCAAGUCCUAAUUUACAAUAUAUCAACAUUUAACUGAACCAUAUAACUGGAAUGACUAAUAUAAAACAUUCUAAAAAAUGUAUAAUUAGUAUUAUUACACUGUUAUAUUUACCAUUAUUAUAUUACUACAUUAAAAAAAUAGCUUUGUCCUUUAUACUCGUGCCAACAUACUGUACAUUUCUGACAUUUGAAAACAAAAUGCUCAAUGCCAGUUUCAUUAGGUAAUCCUAACAGGGUAAAGUUAACUUUAACUGGAAGAAAUAUUUCAUGUGUAGUGGAGGAGAGUUAGAUUACAUUUAUAUCAUACUCAUUCCUGUACAUCAGAUACGUCGUUAAAGCCAGCUACCGGUUAGCUAAGGAUGUUAUAACAAACCAAAUGUAGCAAAUAUCAGCAACCAGCACCAACGCUAUUGUAGAAGUAAAAUAUGCAAAUGAAUUGGGGCUGUCAAUAGAUUAAAAAAAAGUACUAAUUAAUCGCACAUUUUGAAAUUCAUUAAUCUACUAGCAACUCUUCCUGCUGUACUCAAGCACUUUGCUCUCAACUCUCCAUCAUUUAACAGCUGUGUGUGAAGUGCUGUGUUUGAAUCUCCUCACAAUUAGCCAGGACGUUUCCAAACCACUUUUAGGGACACAGUGGUGGUCCUCUGCAGACUGUGUGCCGCGAAAGGUAAUGUAAGAUGUUGAGAUGGAAGGAGCCUAGCAGCUGGCUUAACAUAGCAGUGCUUUACGUGGUCCGUUUGCCACUCACCCCCCUUCUGUUUGACACGUGGAGUAAUUCCUCUGCUCAGUUCUCCGCUGUAUGUCGCACCUCUGUUUGUUUUACUUCCAAUGCAAAAAGCUCUCUCUAUCUAGAUGUAACUGACUGCAACUUGCGGCCUUGUCGUUUCCGCGGUCAACUUCCGGUAAACCGGAAGUAAACAAAUGAACGUUAACUACAUUAAACUAUUUUAUUUUUAUUUUGCAUUAAUCUAAGCUACAUUAAUCACAUAGAUUAAUGCGUUAAUGUUGACAGCCCUAAAAUUAAUUCAUACUCAUCUUUCAAAUGGUGUAAACUGUUUGAUUUUAUUUCCACUAUAUGACAAAGAAGUAAUUACACAACAACACAUUUCUGUGAACCAUUGCUGAUGGUCUCAAACCAGAUGCUGAUGAUACUAUGUAGUACCAUUCACCCAAGAUGUAUAUUAUUAUAACAUUUUAAUAGAAACAACAAUCAAAGAAAAUGAAAUUAACAAUUGGUCAAUGUAUUCAGCUUUUUUGCUGCAUCUGGUGCUUCGAAUCACUGAAUUUGCACUAAAAAGACAUGGCGAACUCUGGAAUAAGACAGCAGGUUCAAUGUAUGCGAUAAUGAAGGUUUUUACUCAUCCGUUUUUCAAAGUAUACAGAAUUUCCAUCACGCAUUGCCACCACAACAUUUAAGGUGGUAAAAGUGUUGUGCAUAAUAGAUUGCGCAAAGUUUCAUUUGAACAAUGCUCGGACUCAAAUAUUAUAAUAAACAGCAGCUGAACCCAGGUUGUGCAGGACAUGAAAUCCCUCAUCAAUGAUAAGAAGGAGACAGAAAGGAGAUUACGUCAACCCACAGGGAGCUAAACUGUAAGAUGAAGAGAAAGAGAAUCUGUGAGGACAUACAUCUUCGGGAGAAAAGAGGCAGGUUUAGAGUAGCAUCAGGGAGAUUAUUAACCAAAGUCACAAAAGACCCCGUCCUUCUCCCACCUGCGGUCCUGGUUGCCCUAUUUAUCACAGCCGUAGAUGGUUACAGCUUUCCAUUACAAAUGUUGUUUUUAAGAUGACAGCUUGAACGCUUCAGAGCAGCAUCUAAACUCAAAUCCUCCGGUAAACAGUACAUCAGUGAGAAUUCCAACGUGAAGUGGACUAACAAACUCAGUGGCCACUCAGUGUUCGCCGUCCCCGGAGCACAUUUUACAAAUACGGUCCAGAAAUGUUUUUUUUCUGUCUUUUCAUGUAGCUUUUGUCUUUUAGUUAUGUCCAAACACAACACAUGUGACCAAGUUAAAAGCUGAUGACCUGUUGUAUGAGCAUUAUUUUCUUGCAAAGGGAUGCAAGUAAAAAGGCAAAACUUUAUUCUGUACUCUCCCAAGACAACUCCUCUGAAGUUGGCCAUUCUCUAUAUCCUACCCUUUUUAGUCCCGACCUCUGCAUAUUCUUUUUUGCUCCAAGACCCACCAAAGCUCCCUUUGUGAGAGUUUAAUGAUGCAUGCAAAUGCAAAUAGCCCCGUGGACAUCUCUGAAUAUUGGUCCUGAACCCACAGGGAAUGAAUAGUGAACAGCGGAACAGCGAACAGACUUUUUCUACUUCUAAAGAGAAUCAUUUUUAACCCCUAUUCCCAGGUUGGAAAAUACAUACAUAAGAUGCGUUCCGCAGCAGAAACCAAUUACCCCUCCCUCACCCAUCCCUCUGCACAACAAACUCUUUUAUUGAUCUUGUGAUAAUUACCUCAGUCACAUCAUAAAGCACCUGGAACAGAUUGGUGGCUCAAAUUAUCGAUUAACCCUGGGCUACCCUUCGUCGUUCAUUGUACUGCCGCUGCUAUACAUUACUUGAUGAGAUCUGCUUUUCCGUGCUUUCCGGUGCAUUUUUCUUUGGCGCUGUGCGGGGAUACAUUGACAAAGAGGUUUAGUGUUGCAUGCAUGCUACCAAAGUCAUUUGUCAUCUCUUCUUAGUCUUUGGUUUAUUCUGUGUCCUGCCACCUCCAACCAAGGUUAACCCACAGCCGGCUGGAGCCAGCUCCUCCAAUCCAGCAACACAAAGACACUAGUUUAAUCUCUAACAGUUUUGGUCUUAAAAUGACCUAUUAUUUGUGGUCGUGACUUGGGGCCUAGCCUGGCAAUCACCAGCUGUGUCUAAUGCUUCAUUACACAACUUGCUCAAGGCGUGUGAGUGAAUGACCCUGAAACCUCUGCCCACUAGCCACCAGUACGUCCUCGACCACAGCCACAAUGACCAUGUGACCUCAACUGAGGCCAACACAUUUUGUCCGCAAUAAAUAAUGUGGGUGGAAUUUUAUUUCAGCUGUCCCAAUAUUUAUCAAAGCUUACUAGAAGGUGCAUGUAUUAUUUUACAAAUCUUGAUAUCUAUUAUAGAUCACAGUGGCUGACUGUCGUAAGUCUCACUCUGCUUGUUUCCGUUGAAAGGAGAAAGAGGAGACACACGGGAGAUGUUCUGCUUUUUUGCAGAGUUGGUCUUAACUUUGUGCUUGUCUGGAUAUCAAAAAAACAAUGGUGGCUCAUGGCAGGUCCCCAGAUUCAUCUUCCUUCAAACACAAUGCAAAUACAUCAGAAAGGGCUACAUGACUGUAAAGUCUGUGAAUGCAAAUAGUAAUUAUUCCCAUGAUAUGUAAAUAAUGUAUUUUUAUGUGCAUUGUGUGCAGUAAGAGCCACUGAACUAAUUCCUGGCUAAAGAGAGUGAUCACUGUGAUUUCUUGUGUAGGAUAACAUGAUUAUCUGAUGAAUAUUUUAUAAUAAAUAGCUAUUUAUCUGUGUCCUAAUGUCACCCUGACAAGUGUCCCUGAAAGACGCCAAAUGUAUUUCACUAUGCGAGCGUUAUCCUCAAUGCUUAUUCAAAACCAGAGUCACAUUGAGAACUGCCGCAUACUGUAUCAUCCAACACAAAACCACGUAAUUAGCUGCUAAGUUUAUGCAACCUCUAUGGAAACCGGCAUAGAACUCUAAUUGGACUGAAGUAAAAUAUGUUCCUGUAAGACCACUAGCUCAUUCACACUGUUUGUUCAGAAAUAAUGGAUAAUAUUAACCAACUGACAAGCAAUAUCAGGCAACAUGUACAAGCUUGUGUUGCUGAUUAAUCUAUCAACCUCCAUUCAUCAACUCUGAGUCUAUUUUCUCCUUCGACUUUGCAGCUCCUCAUAUUCAAUAUUGCAAUAGUUGGGGAGCAGGGGGUGUCGCCUGCCGGAAACAGUUUCUGAGGAUGGAAAGCUCACUUUAGCCAUCUGCAAAGAACCGAACCCAGCUCUGGGCAGGUGUUCAACGUGGUCAGGUGGAAAGCAGCUGACACAGAUAAUGCUCCCCUGCGCUAUUUGUCACUGUAAAUAACAAUUGUUUCUUCAAUAUUGGAAUUGGACAGGAGUGAGCACCCGGCUCGUCUUCCUCAUUCUGCUCUGAUAUGGGCAAUUAAAAAGAAAGGUCAUUGGUGGAAACAGAUGGCUAAAAUGUGAGCCGAGUCUGGAGGCUGAAAGAGACGAUUGGCCUUUUACAUGUAACUCCAUUCAAGCAGUUAGGAUACAUGGGAGACAGACAGCAAAUGGACAAAAAAGUUUUACUUAAGAAGAGUAUGUUUAUGCAAGAAUGUUUUUCAGAAACUAACGCAGGCUGAUUUUUGGUUUAAGCUUGGAAAUGCUCAUUUGUCAAUGAACAAUAACUAAUGUGCCGCAUCAUAAAUAUUUUUAUAUUAAUUUCAAACUUUUAAAAAUUGAAAAUUAAAAAACUAUUUAUUUAUUGUAAAUGACCCGUCGCGGCCCAGCCCUUUGGGAAUCGCUGCCUUAGAGUAUAUUUCAUAGCUUUCCAUCUCUCAGUGAGUCACUUCAAAAACAGCUUGAACAGCUUAAAAUGAUGUGAUAUUCAGCUUCUGUAUCUACAAGAAGAUGCAUCGUCAAGAUGCUGCUUCAAAUUGUUUUUCCAAGCCAGUCUUUUUCUUAAUCACCCACCGUAGAGAGAACCAGUGUAGCCGACACAGUAAAAAAAAAUAACAACUAUUAAACCAACUGAGAGUGCAUCUGGGAGAAGAAAGGAAACAUUUUCCGUGCUGAAGGACGGCACAAUUAAAGUAAGAUAAAGUCUGCUAAAGUUAAAGCAGCCUGGCAAGCCUCCCAAGAGUCACAUAGGAAGCGCGUGUAGGCAGUAAGGUGGGGAGGAACAGCAAACACAACGUUGUCACACUCCCUGUGGAGCCCAGCUAAAAGGAGGGGGGACAUGGAUCUGCAAACACUUCACUGCCUCCAGCUUCUGUUAUUUUCUUUCGCAAUCCUAGUGAAAUUCCUGCUGAUGAGUAGAUUAUGCUGGUACAUGUGUUUCUUUCAGUCUGACUAGUUACUGACGGUGGCUAAUGUUUAUGCGUGUGUAGAUGUUUUAAUCCAGUGUUUAAAAACAAAAUGGAUGAUCGCAGAUUGGAUGUGUAUUUUCAUCCCAACAGCUGACCUCAUUGUACAUACAGGCGCACUGUGCAAACACUAUUUGCUCUAGGGAUUCUGUGGGGGGGAGGACGUUUUUGAGCCAUCAUCCACUGUCCGAGGUUAUUAGGGUUCAAUGGUCCUUUUGAAGUGAACAGAGAGCGCACAGUCUAUGCACUGUGACCUCACCAUUUCGCUUAAUAACACACUACUUGAUGGAUGUGAGAUGGAAGUUGUGUUCGUACCUCAACAGUAGAAACAUUGUCUGCUAAGAGCCCAGGAGAAUAGUUUUACUGUAGACUUAAAAAGCAGUUAUGAUGUGUCUUUGGGGAAUGCUAACUUUUCCAGUGUAUGGUGCAUUUGACAACACUUAGUGGUAGUGCAAGGCAGGCUUUUUUUAAUACUCUGUGCCACUUGGGUGUUGACGCAUUCAGCAGGAUCACAUCAUCUGCUACUACAGAAUGUGUGCGUGUGCGAGUGUGUGUCUGUUGACACUAAUCUCUCUGAACAAGCCACAGCUUGCCAUGAGCAAGACAUUACAUGCAUCUCUUCACUCACCAAAAGUGACAGUGGCAUACAAUACAAACCAAGCAGCUAGACAAACUGUCCUGUCAAAAACCUGCAGUGUGUCAACGUCCAAAACAGCACAAAUACUCGAACCCGCAGAGAGCGCUAACCUGGUACCUGUGUCUGCAAUGUCAACAGAUGAUGAAUAGAUGAGUAGAUGAGCGGCCAACACUGUCAAACACUUACUAAGUUUGGAAGAAAUCUUGGUGCUUGCUUGGCAAAGAUGAAUAAGCAUUUGCUUUGUUCUGUGAGUUACAGGAAACGCAAUACGGUGUAAAUGAAGUCAGGCUUUUCAGUGAGAUGGGUUGAAGGUUUUUUAGGUGACCUAACUGGGGAUGGUGGAUAAUAGCUAGUUCCAAGGAGACAUUUUUAUUUUAUUAUUUAGUGCAACCAUGUGCAACAUUAUAGUCACAUCUCUAAAGAGACGCUCACAGUCAGACAAACACAAAGUGUAAAGUACACCACAUCCAUAUGAUGAUUGUUGUACGUAUUUCAAUCCGGAGAGACUUGUUGAAAUUUGAACAAUGCUUUAUUAUAACAGGUAUAAUAUGAUAUUGCAAGUUGUUUGGGGCUUGGACUCCAUCCUGCCGCAGGAUAGACCCGGGGCCGGGAACUCGAGCCGAGACGAGGCAUAUCCCCCCCUUGGGAGUCCAGACACUGGUGGUGGUGGUGGUGGUAUAGCCCAAGUUGCAUAACUCUCCUGCUAUGCCAGGUUCUGCUGUAGAUUGGAGGUGUCAGGGGUGGUGGCGGGUCACCUUUGGAGCGUGCUGAAAUGACAACUGACAGCACAAGAGAGGAGAACAGUUUUUAACGUUUGCCUGCCCCAAUGCGAUUGGUUUACGGUAACGACACCCACGUCUGAUACUACCCGACCCCGCCCCUAAUCAGCUGGCCGUGCGCCCCCAGGGAGAGAGGAGGCCACCAGGGAGAGAGGAGGCCACCAGGGAACGGCACAGCCUGUCCAGUCUUCCUGACUGAAAUUUCGCCUAAGCUUCAUUUAAUUGGAAAGAAACGUACCUGUGACCGUUUCACGCACUUAUUAAUGUAUUUGUGUUGAGUUAGCGCGUCUCAAUAAUGUAUCGACUUAUUAUAAGACUUAUGUGUACAGGCAUUAUUUAGCUAUUAUAUUAUAUGGUCUUAAAAUUACAAUUAUCCCCUUGCAGUUCUCUUUAUUUUGGUUAAAGCAUUUUUGAGACCCACAUGGUGGAAGCAAAGGAUUACAAUACCAUAUCACAUCAAACUAAUACAUUUCACUGAAAUCACAUCUAUUAACACAACCCACUGCCAACGCUUUGAUUUACCCUGCAUUAAAAGAGCAUGACCUAGCACCUCAUUUGAAAUAGAAGGCAGAAUAUUUUGUCAGCAAAGCAAAGAGUCACCACAUGUUUGACCAAACCAGAAGUCCAAGGCCAGUGCGUAUCUGGGUUUAAUUUAUCCGACACCCAGAAACAAGGCUGCUAUAGGAUGAUAAUGUGGCUUCUGUAGUGAACAGUCAUUUGAAGUACAGACAGUCAGUGUUACUGACAUACUUGUAUCAUUUCACAUGUAAUAUAAUUUUCAUUACUUAACAAAAGACUUAAGAUAUGAUCUGACUGAUAUCUUCUGCUAAACCUCAUAUUUAAAAUGAACAGUUACAAAAAUGUCAAAAAGACAUCUUAUAUCAUUAUUUUGUAUUAAUGUGUAGCAGAUGUUGUCGGGAUGAGCAACAAGAGGGAGAGCAAACUGUUUUUGGACCACAGUGUCAAUUGUAAAUCUCUUUUGUAAGAUAAAAAAAUUGAAGAAUUAUGGAAAUCUGUAAUUCUAGUUCCAAAAGAUUUUGACUGUUUGCAUCUCACAUGUAGGUAACGAUCUAACACAGCUUCCACUAUACAUUGAACAGAGUGAUGAACAGGCCAACAACUCUAUCCCUACUCGCCUCUGAUCCGCUGAUCGCUGAUGAAGCCUCGAACUGUUUUGAUACAGCGAGUGUGAGACUGCAUCUCACAUCUGUGAUGUCACGGAGACCAAUGAUGCUGCGUUCAAGAUGAUGUCAUUACGUAUAUAGCCAAACAGAAAAUAUUUGACCGGAAUUUCUCCCAUUUUUGUGGAACAUUAAAACUGACAGAAACAUUUUUGUCAACGGGAAUCCUGAAUCGGAUCCUCAACUCCAAGCUUUUUCUUUUACAGAAACACAACAAAACGUGUUGUGACCAAAAGGUCUCUUUUAAGAUCCUUCUGGUCAACAAAAUAUGUAUCUUUAGCCAACACACCAACACUGAUCUGCCAUGAGCUGCCAAAUUAUCAGACUGUCUAUAACAUUAAUUAUUCCUGACUGUGCUUCAUCCAAUUACAUGAAGUCGUAUCAAUUUUACACUGGGGUUUUUUAUCAUAUUUGCAUAUGUGGUAUAAGUCAGUUUGUUCCCACAGUAAGAACACGUUGAAGUAAGACCCAGUUAAUGAAUCCAAUGACUAUCCAGAAACUGUGCUGUGUUUAAGCAUAUAUUUGUUCCUACAAUCGGAUUGUAAUUGAGUGCCUUUGUCUUUCCAAGUAAAUCUGAACUCCCUCCUGGUUUCCAAACCAGCUGGUAACUGUCUCUUUCCUGUUUGAGUCGAAUCUCAAUAAAUCUUAAUGAAAGAGGAAUGAAACAUCAGGUCUAGGGAUAUAAAAAGCUCACAUCCUUCGGUAAAAUUUUGAAGCAUUACUCUUAGAGUAAAAUAAAGUAAUUCUGGAGAGUGGUUUUUGCCUCUGCCCUUUCAGACAGAAAUGACCUUGCAAGCCCCUGUACCAGAGGACCAGCUGCAAUCCAUGAUUCAUUUAACACCUUCUGGGCCAAGAAGCCCUCCAAGAACAUGAAUGUUGAUUAAACUCUUUGUGGGAGAAUUCAUAUUUAAAGCAUACGCCACAUGAAAAUGAAGGAUAACCAGCCAAGCAGCAGAACACAGCUCAGAAGAGAACGACGGGCAAUUUAUGAGAGAUUUACUCCAAUUUACAAUUUAUUCUGCAAUCAUCACAAUGUUUCCUCCAUAUAUAGAGCAUAAUGUAAUGCACAUUUGUGAGUGGGUGGAAUUAUAAGUCAUAAGAGUAGGCUACUCACAAAAUGAUAUAAAUGUCAUUACAGUGCAUUCAAGCAGGAAAUCUAGCACAGGGAACAAGAGAUUAGCCGCUGGGUGGGAACGCUCCACAUGUGCCCAUAACAGGCUGACGGAGUCAGUGAGUGGAUGAAAGGGUGAUUGAGCAAACUCUACUGACGUUUUGGGUGGCUCUGGGUCCACUAUGGAGUUUUGCUGGGGCUCGGUCCAUCUUUGAACUAGAUUACAGUGACUUUCAAAGGAGACUUCAGUGCCCUGUUUACCAUCAGAGACUGGAGCGCAAAAACAAAUAGCACUGUGUAAAUCUAAUGCUGGAAAAAGUCAUUUAAUUUAUAUUCAUGCGCCCUUUGUUGUUGAUGCCUGUCGUGGCCUCUCUGCCAGCAUACCUGCUGUGUGUGGUCUGAAAAAUAUCUCCCAUUUCACCCGCGGCUUGUGCAGGAACAUUGCACAUAUUGGACUCUGAACAAUAUCACCAGGAGCUCGUUGAUGGAAGUGAUCCGUCAUGUAGAGUUCAAGGGUUCUACAUUGUGUUUGUUCUUCACGGUCACUCUCUCAGAUGUAACAUCUCGCCCCCCAUCCUUCCUAAACCUUCUACAAGUGUAAUUCAUUUUUUUAGUUCAUCAAAUCACACAAGCCCCGUGUGCAAAAGUCCUUCUUAAGAGUAACAGCGCCAACAUUUGUGCUUCUGUUAAUGGUACAGGAAAAUUCAACCUUGAACGUGAUCACUAUAUGCAACCACCUUAACAAACUGUUCAUUUUUCAGAUAAACUGAUUUGUUUUAGAAUAGAAAUAAGGGAGAAAGUUAAAGUACUAGAGCUGCAAACAAGGCUGUACAUUCGGACUUGUCUGGUUUCAACAUGGAAGUGUUGCCAUGUUGAGAGACAAGCACUCGAAUAAAUCCCAAUGACUCUGGUGACUAGGACGUCCAGCAUCACCAGCAGGACAAAGUUUUAAAAUAUGCUUUGACAUGUUGUCUUUGAAACAGUUGCUCAAUAGAUACACAUCGUUGUACCUUUAAUGAUCCCAGAUGAAUAAUCCUAUCGACAGUAGUGAUCCCAGGACUCUUCCUCUGGCGACAAAGUGCGGUAUAGACGUGUGGUUUGGAGGGAAAUGUCGUAACAUACAGAGUAUGCAAUGGGAUAUCAUGGAACUUUCCACAUAUAUUUUUGUUACUGCCAAAGGAUGUAGUAUAAUUAUUGGGUGCAGAUGAACCUUGUCAUGUUAGUGUUACAUCCUAAACCAUUAUGCCGAAUUUAUACCUGCUAAACAGUAGCGACUUAACAUUGCCAUUGUGAGCAAUUGGCUGAAACAAGCAUAGCCUCACUGUAAACCUUUGAGUUUAGAUUGUCACAUGAAGAAGUGAUGCAUUGGUCUGACAUUUACUCUCUGUGGUUGGUCCUGCAUGGUUACUCAUAAGACUUGAUGAAAGAAGCAUUGUCACUGUGGCAGCGGUGGGGAAGAAGAAAACAACAGUCAGAGGUUUUUUAUUUAUAACAUAACAAGCUAAACCACCACGACCAAUUUUUACCACCAUUUAUGCCACAUUUUAAUAAUAAUAAUCUUACUGAUAGCUGCUGUCAUUGCAUCACGAGGAAUCCUUCAUGGCUCUUUUUUUAAACUAUCUUUUUAGACUAUUAGUAUACAGUUAACUAAUUGUACAGACUGUACAUUAUGACCAAUCAACACAAAACGAAUAAACAAACGCAAGUUAUCCGGUUUAGUGCUGAUGGGCCCAUUAGUAUAUGUGUAUAUAAAAGCCUUACAGAGGGACAGGGGCAGGUUGAGCACAAUGAUUUAACUUAACUAAAGCAAUUAGGAAGAGAGAAAUCCCACAUCAGGCAAAAACUACUGGCCUCAGCGUGGUAGUUCCGGCUACUUGGCUAUCGACAAUAUUGACUGCAGCUCUGUCAGACACAUGGGGAGUUGUUUCCAGCCGUUAGUAUGCGUGUUGCAGUGAAUAAAUAAGUUGCUUACUUAUAAUUAUACUGUAAUUAGCACAAUGUUAACCUAGAGUAUGCUUGGUAAUUAGAACUGUUAUAUUGGUCAACCUCACGUCUGUGAAAUAAGCACUAAAAUAUUUGACAUUUUAUCACUUACAUCACAAUUAGAAAAACACAUUUAAUUGACUAUAAUUUCAGGAAACUAAGAAACACUCAUUUUAUGAAAUACAAUGGAACGCCGGCAGAGUGGUGUUGCUUGAAUCCUCUUUCCAAUAGAAGUUUCCAAAAGUGGCGCUUUUAAAGGAUGUUUGGGGGUGUUUGCGUUAGUUUUGGGGGACUGUCUAUGCAGCUGGUGGUUUGCCAUUUGUGGUUACCAUCUCUUCCUUUUCACAUUAACUGGCUCUGCGCAUGUCUUCAGUGCCUAUGAAGGCUUUGCCACAGCCUCAGGCUGGAUGUCAUCUCAACAGCUCAUCAAAUUGAGUGACAUGUGUUGGCCUAACCCUCACACCUGAGGGGACAAAUAAAGGACACGCGUCCACGGCGCUUUAACGCCUCAAGGUGAAAAGUUGUAUACUGCAGCGUUGAGGAUUCUUGUCUUUCUUUGCUUUUUGUUGAGGAUUUUUAAACUUCAUUUUCAUCAUUUUACUGCGGUAUAAUGCAACUUGUUGUAAGAGUGAUCAAAUGGGGGCAAGGUUUGCACAAAAGGGCAAUGAGUCAUGUGUAAACGGGAGAAGACAAAAAAAUAACAAUUACAAAACAGACCAAUGAAUGAAUAAAUAGUUCCUUUUGUAGAAGCCUUAAAGUUAAAUUACAGUAACUGUUAUAUGCAUUUUUUUGCAUUUAAAGUUCAAACCUAUUUCUUGUGGACUUUAUGUGUCGGCACCGAGCCACAUUUUUUCUAUUUUACAGAGGAAAUUUAGCCAUCAUUAAACGAGAGUGAAUCACUACUAUUGCAGUCGGUAGACAUUUUAUUAAUUAAAGCUUCUAUUCACUCAGUAUAAUUAAACUGAUAAUAAUGGCACUUUGUAAUGUGCGAAAUGAAAAGUAAGGGCUUAUCUUUUAAAGCAGGAAACAUUUUAAUGAAAUCAUGAAGUGGUGUUAGAUCAAUCUAACUGCACAUUUUAUAGAAAUGCUACUUUUAUAUCUGUGUGUCAUUUUUGAUGUGGCUAAAAGUAUAUUUGGGUGUCAGAUAUUGAAGGCUUCACCAAGUCCCUGUUAAAUUGAGAUGACCUUAAACUUUUCCCAUCAUGAUUGCAUUGAUUCCAGUUAUCCAGCCUUUUGCUGAAAAGUCUUCAUAACAAUAAAGAUGCCAUCUAAAUGUUAGUUACAGUAAUGCAUGAACCCUUUUCAAACUAACACUUAACGUUGACAUUUACACAUGUAUUCCUGCUCUCUAUACUGUAAAUGAAUAUAACUGUGAAUUCCCUUUGAGCAGAUUAUAAUCUGCAUUCAGUUAUUAUUUAAAUAAUCUCUGUCCUUGUAAUCAGGGUGGGCAUUAAUGAAAUUUUGUCAUGCAUUUUAAUUAAGGUUUCAGGAACACAUCUUAAAGACAGCCCAAACAAGCCCUUUAGUUCACUGGGCCAAACAUAUUAAACACUGUGGCAAUAAAGUAUAGUUAAAGAAUUUCCUAACAUUAAAAUAAGACAUGAACCGAAUAUGACAAAGAUGAAUAUAUUUGGAGCAAUUUUGUUUUGAAUGCUUUAAUGAAGAAAAACAGCAUCACAACAACAUCAGCUAUUUGAAAUGUCUCUUGCAAACGUAAAUAAGUAAGUUUAUUUACACAAAAGACACAAUCAAUAAAAAUAUACUUAUGUACUGUUGAGGAUCGAGUUGUGCAAAUCUAUGGACCAAAUAAAUAUGAUAUGCUAACAAAUCCGAAAGACCGAGAGACGUGUUUGUGUCUUUCUGACACCUUUGUUCCACGUACUUGUCAGGCAUGUGUGUAGAGACAUUUAUAUUAGUCACACUUUUACGGUUUAUGGGUAAAAAAUGUAUUUGAUUUCAUGGUGACUCGAAGAAUAGAUUACACUGUAGACGAUGAUGGUGUGUGAUAUUUGCCUCGCUCACAGAUGGGGAGUGAUGUUGUUUCGAGAUGAUCAUAGGGAGGGGAGGAGAGCAGCAGUAAAACGGACCUAUAUGCCUAAAUGAAAAGUCUGCACGGUACAGUAUGUACAACUAAGAAUGCACGAAUAAGCACUUCCUGACUAAUUAAUGUCCUUGUCUGACCACCAUUAAAAGGAAUGUGCAGCAUGAUAUAUAGAAAAGCCCUGAAUAUUUCAUUCAGGCUCUCUGCUGAGAUAUUUUCAUGUCAUUUCACAGCAGCUUUAACCACUGCUCAGUUAAAAAACAACAACAUUGUAUCGCCAAGAGUGUCGGUUGAGUUCUGCCUUAUCAAUUCAUUUUGCCAUGACAACAGGCCUCCCCUCUCUCUGGGGCACUUUGAGUACAAUUACAAUAAAGAGCUCGAGAGAUCAGUUGGACUUCAGAUCCUCCCACUUGAGCCUUGCAAGAUUCUUGUACUUGAUACAGUUCUUCUUUCACGAUGAGUUUCUCCGGCUAACAACACUUCAAAGUUGCUCCUAUAGUUGAAUAAUGGACUCAUUGACAAUGGUGGGCCGGGUUUGUUUCUCCAUUUUGUACUCAAAGAGUGUGAUGUGAUAGCGGUUCGGGGGGACAUGCACACAGGAAAAAAAUUAGCCUUGGCAUUCAACCCCAAAACAAAAUGUUUUACACCUAAAUAAUGGUUAUAGCAAUAACAUGUAUUAAUCACAGUUAUUCUAGUACAAUGAUCAACCGUUUAAAUUACCACUGUUGCAAAACAUCAACCGUAAAUACUGGAGCUUCCCAGCCACAAUUAGUCAUGAAUAAUUGCAGCCUGUAUCAAAUUAGAGGGGAUGCAAAUGAUUCCACAGACCAGAAAGUCUCCAAUAUAUAUCAUUAUACUUUUCAAUAACAGGAAAAUAUUGUCUCCUGGGAAGAGUGUAAUUUGUGGAAUUAUGGCCACAGGAGGCUCCUUUUUCUUUAGAUCUGCCUGUAACUUCUGAAAAACAUAUGGCCCUACAAUUGCUAUUAGAAGGUGAUCUCUGACUGUACAUUAACCAAGGUGCUUGUCGGUCAACUGGAACAAUGUCCUGGUGCAGUGAAUGUGUGCUCAAAGGAUUUCUACAGACCCCCAGCGACCCGCGGCACUAAGCAUAUCUUUUUUCCCCCACUGUCGGUCACCGCGUCCAGAUACACACGUGCUGGCAAAUCUGUUCACCUCAGGGAAAGCAGCCUGAGGGAAAAUUGCCUCAGGGGGACGCGCGCACAUCCCUGUCCGUCUCCAUUAUGUGAGAUUUAAAGCUGUUUUACCUUGUUUACAGCGCCGUCAAAGAAUAACACCACUGCACUGCAUCUUGUCUGAACAUGUUUGCCAAACCGUUCUGAACCGUUCUGAAUUUACCUUCAUUAACAGUGUCAAUAUGUUGUGAUGACGUGCGUGCAUGUUUGAGUAAUUAGAUGCCAACUCUGGAUGGCUGCGGUGAAAUGAGCCUUUUGUUCUGUUUGUCCUUUGAGGAAUUAGUUGUUGAUCUUCUCUUCCUGUGCUUUCCAGGUACGUGUACAGUAGAAGAUGAAUUGUAUCAGACCGGAGGGGAAACUUGGUUGGUGCUGUGGACGGGUCAGUGAGGCAGUCACAGGGCUGUCAUGACAUUUUAUUAUUGAUAAAAAAGAGCAGCGACCUGGGUAUUAUCCUAACCUCUAUUAACUAUUUAUAGGCUAAGCGCACAUAUUUGUAGCCAGAUGAAAGAAGUAGAACCGUCAACCAUACUGUGCGAGGGUGUGUUCCUCUGUUGGACUGAUCGCAUGCUCUGCCAGAAUGCCUCGCUUACACAUUGUCUUGGCUUUGAAGGCGAGCUGUCAUGCAUGUUUGAUCACAGGCAAAAACAGACACUCAGAAGUCCCACAGUCUUGGCAGACGAGAGCUAUGCAUUUUCUGGAGUAGAGAAUUUUAUUUCCGCCUCAAGAAAAUCUUGAUCCCAUGGCAUUUGCCAACUCGCAUGGAGUAUUUGCUAAUGACCAAACACACCUCCAGAAACGGGCCGAGAAGAGAAGGGCUCCACCUCAACAUCUGCUCCCUCCAUCUCCACGUGGAAUCCCAGGAGAGAGCAAACAUCGCAUGCCUUCCUCCUUUCCAUCCAUCCUCCUCACUAUUUACUAAAUGGGCACACUGAAGGAGCUUGUUGUCCUGGUAACAAGUGAGGAGAAAUUCUGAAUCAAUGCACUCAAACACUCCAUUACCGUCUACGACCGAGCCAAAUGGCACACGUCACAGCCAGGAUUGGAUCUGUCCAAAAGCCAAUCAUCACGCCGCCGUCGUCGUCGUGGAAUCUGCUUCCGAUUAGGAUUCAAUAAUUAAUGAUGUGUAUGCGGGCUGUAAAGAAAUACUCACCAGCAAUUUAAAGGCACCAAGUCAACGCGUUUUUAGACAAAAUCCAAUAGAUGGGAUAAAUACUAACUUCUUUUCUCUUUUUCUUCUUUUCCUUUGUUUGAACUACUGCAAAUCCAAAAAGUAGAAACGAAAGGUUUCAUUGAAGUAUUCAAUUCUAAAAUGCACUAAAGUCAAUGCUGUGCAGCAGGAAUAGAGUUAUGUAUUGUCUGUGUGCAGCUCAGCAGCCAUACUGCAUUUGAACAGGUUGCAAACACUCAGUUGCUGAACCAUUCAAGCAUGUAAACAGUUGUAAUCUCAGUGGAAGGAAAAUUAAGGCAUGGUGAAUUUCCCUCAACUGCAUUUCAAGGCAGCAUAGUUCUAAAUUUAGUGCGCAGAUUGCACAGAGCUUUUAGUGCAACGAUUAACAUCUUAGCAUGGAGCUAAAAUGACCUGCAGAUAACAAUUGUCAAAAGCCUGAGACAAACGAUAAUAAGGACCAAUUACUGGAAUCUCGGUUGGUUUUGAACUUUGAACCCAAAGAGUCGCAAUAUAAAAGCCUUUUGCUACAGUGAAAUAUGAAAUACGGAGCAACAAGAUGUAAUUUAGGGUCACAAAGAUUUUUCUCCGUUGACUGAAAUCCGCUGCAUCUUUAAGCAGAGCUGACACUGGAUGAAAAGGUUACAUGAGGGAUGAAAAGAAAGAAAUUCUGACUCUGCAAUGUCCCUUAAAGAUAUGUCUGUGUAUACAGCAAAUGUCUUCUGGUGGUGCAUCCUAAUGCUGGCAAACUGAGAUAAACAGUGGAGUAUAAUGUAAUGUUGCCUGACGGACAGCAGUAAUGGAUAAUAAAUCUCAGGUUGAGAUGCCUUUUGAUCAUAAAUCAUACUCAGACUGUUGGCCAAAGUCGAAUCCAACAGGCGGCAGAGCAACAGGGAGCAGAGGGCUGAAGAUGAGAAUAAAUCCCAUCUCUUAAUGGUUUGCCCCACAACACAACAGAAUAUUAAACGCUUGAAUGGAUAGGAAGAAAUCAGACGUUCAUUGGUAGCUGAGGACAAAAUAGUUCAAAAGUAAGUUUGUGGAAGAGGUUCAAGUAAACACGAGCUGGGUAUUGAAUAAUUUGAGAGGAAAACUUUCACUCAAUAAAAAUAGAUCCAUUUGAUAUAAUUUGAAUCUUUUUCAUACAUAUUUCAUAUCCUUCCAGAUUCAUGAGGCAGGGGGUCCGGUGAAUCAGAAUGUAUCAUCAAGCAGUGGGAAGUAGUUGAAAGGUUUGCUAAUAUGAUGUUUUGCUGCUUGUUUCUUUUACUGCAAGGUCAUCAUAAAGAUAAAAAUAAUCCCCCAUGACAAAUUUGUUUUCAAAAGAUUUCACUCUCCUCUAUCAUCUCUGAGAAAUACUGCCCGAUAGUGCUGACUCAGAUGGAGUGCGUUGAUCGGGGCCUGAUGUAUUACUCUGUCUUUCCUGUAAUUCAAAUACCUCCACCACUUGUUUUGAGGAAGAGCAUGGGGAGUGUGAAAUUGUCCUUUGGGAAUCCUACUAAAGGGCUUCUCUACUCCCAGACACAUGUUGAGGCAUGUCAAAUUCCUAAUCUGAUGAAAACACUUGCCGGGGAGAGAUAAUUGUACAAAUGCAAAUACGCAGCCCACUGGUAGGAGGGACUAUUUAUGGUUACAACUUGAUAUUGAAGCCAGCAAUUAGCUUCUCCUGGACAGGGUUCAAAAGGAGAGGAGAAUUAGGCCUCAGGGACUGUUGAUACAUUUGUCCAGUGUGUGAACGCAGUCAACAUGUAAGAAGUGGUACAGCAAAAACGAUCGCCUCAUAGAGACAUUAUGACUGGCUGAACUCUGGCCGCUGUGCUCAGGCACUGAUGGAGCCUCUGAACAAUGCCUCUUUUUUCAAUUUUAUUUUUAAUACGUUUCCUAGUGUCCAUAUAUUUGAACCGCAUAAAUUACAGUGUGGGACUUUGUUGCUCAUCAUUGAUAACACACCACACGUUCCCUGGCAAUUACCUUCGAAGAUAAAGCGUGCUGAUUUACACCAGAACCAGUUACAAAACGGACCAAUUAUUCUGCAGUGAAAGCCAGUAAGAAAGACUGCCAUGUGUAAUGAACAACGGUUCAGAUAGUAGGCUCGACCCGAUGCAUAUAUUACGUGAGCGCUAACAAGCUGUCAGCACAGCUAACAUGGACAAUGUAUUGACAACACUUUGCUGUCUGACCUAUAUCAAACAAUAAGCGAAGAAAACAAGAUGGCCCAAGCUAAUUAAAACAAACUGCAGAUUAAUUUGGUGCUUUGACAGCAUUUUAUAUUUAGUGUGCUAAUGAGAAAAUCACAGCAUUGAUAUAGAACUUAAUGGUUGCGUAGGGUUGACCUGUUUUAUGUUAGUCCUAAAUUAGGCCCCCUUUAUAUACUUAUUAAUGAAAAAGAAGAUGGCUUUUAAAAGUGACUUUGAAGCAAGAAUCAGGGACAAGAGCCUCUGCUUUUGGUUGAUCAAUACAAUUCUAAAGCACUUCCUCCUUAAUGGCCGGCUGAUCAAAGUAGGCAAAGAAUAAAGCUUUGCAUUGCAUUUUUAUCGUAUCUUAAAUGGAUAAAAGAACUUACAAAGGUUUUAAGCACUUAGUUUAAUGUUGCUUCAAUUUAAGACACAAUCCCAGCAAUGUGACCAUUGCAAGCAAAAAUUACCUCAUCUUUCAUCUUUUGGAGGAAUGAAUAUCCUGAAUGAGCAUCACAAAAUUCCCACAAAACUGUUAAAAAACUGAACGGACCCAUUUACCAUUUAUUAAAAAAGGGAACAGGGCAAGAACACUGAGGCCGUGGUUUGAAACGUCCUGGUUAAAUGUGGGGAGAUUGUUGUCACUUCAAACACAGGCAUUAAAAUAUGGAGAGUUGAGAGCAAAGUACAGGACAGCAGGAAUAGUCGCUAGUUCAACAUGUUCCACCAGGUGGAAUUCUGCCUCCAAGUUGAUCAAAUGUGUGUAUUUUUGUUUAGUUUAAAAUAACAUUAACAAUUAAACAACAGGGUCUAAAAUACACACUUCCUAAACUGAUUACUUCUAAGAUGCAGUCUUUAGAAGAAAAACAAACAUUUAACAACAAGAACAACAUUCAUUAAUCGCCAUUAAUCGAGAUUAAUGAAUUUCAGUAUGUGUGAUUAAUUAGUUGUUUUUGAAUCUAUUGACAGCCCUAGUUCUUUUUUCUUUUUCUUUCUUCAAUAGAGAAUAUUAUGGAAGCCCAUUUCCGCCACAGAAAAAAAAGAAAGAAGGGUUAGAAUUUUGGAAAUAGCGUUUACGCACCUAUAAAUAGCGUUUACGCACCUCUAAGUGGCGUUUACGCACCUCAAAGUUCCCUGCGCCUUGUAUUCUUCCGUUGGAAUAAUCCCAAAUAAACUUGGUGUAAUUUUAAAACAGCUAAGACUACGUUUCCUAUUGUUGAACAUAUAAACGUCCUUUUCAUCUGCGCUGUAUUACGGUCUGUGACCAUCCAAUCAGUGCCUUGCGGCUGCAGCAGCGACACCUAUCAGGAUCCAGGAGGUGUGUAAACACAUACACGUUGUGGAUCAGCCCAGUGGUCCCCAACCUUUUUUACCUCACGGACCGGUUUCAUGUCAGACAAUAUUUCGCGGACCGGUUGAGAAGGUCCGACGGGGGGGGGUGUAGUAGUUGUUGCGGGCGGAAAGACCGACGGAGGGGUAGGGGGGAGGGGAGGGGGAGUAGUCGCGCGCUCUGUGUUCGCUGCUUCUGACGCGUAGGUUAGAAAACAUGUCAGUUCUCAAUGUGAAAAAAAACAUGCUGUGUAGGCUAUUUAUGAUGACAUAGGUAGUACAUGAGUGUUCCUUUAACUUAUUUUGUCAGUGUAAUUGACAGGCUGCUUAAUUGGUUAACUCUUAAAUUCAACAUAUUUUUUCAUGCAGUGAGAGGACAGGCAAUGAUGCAGAGAGUACAGGGAGAGGAGAAACACCAGGUCGAAUAGAGAGAGGAGAAGCACAGAGGAACACGUUCUGGGGUUCAUGGCUCCUCUGUGCAAGGCAGGACCGGACGUGGAGGACAAGGAGGCCCUCUGGGCACUACUGUAAAAAGGAGACUCCGUAUGUAGAUAGCUCUUAAUCUGCAAUUGUGUUGUUGUGUUGUGUUGACAUACUUGUCUUUACUGUUUUCUUAAAUUUAAUAAACUACAAACUACUAACACAUGUAUUCAUUAUCAUUGAUUGUAUAUGACUUUUACUGAUAACAUAAUGCAAUAUAGCCAGGACAGCCUUACAGAGUCGCGACGCUUUGUGUUGCGUUGCUUCGCAUCGCGUCGAGGUCUGUAUGAUCACAAAAUUCAGAGUUUACCCACCUCUAAUUUUACCACUACAGCACUGCUUGCACCCACUCACUCCACUCUCAUAACAAACAGGGACGUCCGACUUUUAGCGGAGUCUAAAUUAUCUUCGAGUCCGAAAUAAAUCAAACUUCGAACGAGAUAAAAUACGUUAUUUAUACGGUAUACGGUAUUUAUUUCGUAGUUAUCGUGAUUAGAAACGAUUGAAAAGAGUUCUCUCUUUAUUGAACCAGUGUUGCUAAUUUCUCAAUGAGGAAAGAUGCUGCAGAAUCAGCAGCAGCUUUGCGCAUGCGCUCGUUGAUUUCAGUCUAGACGUGACGUGUGUCUCCUCUGUGCUCUGACUGCAGCUGGAGGCGGCUCGCAGUCAAGUCACGUCAGACACCACAAAAAUGUCUCCCAAUAAAACCAGAUAAGGUCGCUUUUGACAAGAAGUCGCCAAGAGCGUUUGAAAAGUCAAUGUACCAAACAACGAAGGAGCCUGCGCGUGCGCAUUUCUUAAGUCAUAAUUUCGACUUUUCAAGUUUUUGUGGUGGAAAUGGGCUUCUAGGAAACUAAACACAACAAUAUCACUAAUUACACAUUUUGUGUUGUUGUGUGUGUUCUAAAAGAAAAUAAUGAAUUUUUAAUUUUGGUUCAUUGAAUAAUCAAUGUUGUCAUCAACAUACUUGGUAAUAAUAUUAGCCAACAUGAUAGUGUUACAUUGCAGUCUCGCCGCACAUUGAGGAAAUGAUGUGAUACACACUAUGGAGAAGCUAAACCCAUAAUCUAUAUUGAGUUUUGCUUAGGUAAGCUUGCCUCCACUUUAGAAAACGAACAACCAGGUACAAAAACGCAACACUUGUAUGGCACAGAAACAUUGAUGUCUUUUAGAGUGAUGGCAGCUUUGCCAUGGAGACAUAUUGCAAAGGCAAGGCUUUUGAGCAGGGCAUUGCAUGGGAUUAAAUGGCUUUCCCUCUUCCGGACUGGAGAGAACAAUCGCUCUUUGAAAUGAGCCGCACCACACAAAAUGAAGCAUUGAACUUUCAUCUUGGGCUGUCUAAGAUAACAGUCCUCUUCUAAUAAUUCCACUGUGUAGUGUAUUCAAGAAUUUCAGUGCGCGUGCACUUAAAGAAGAAUACUCAAUAGCAUUCAAUAUGUUGUCUCGAGUCAUGGGACCUAUACGAGAGGUUUCGGGUUCAUGACCUUUUCCACAUUAGUCAUAUUAAGAGCAACACAGAAACAUGUUGGAAGCAAAGGAAGUUCCUUUGAUUGAAUCAACCAUACAGUUUUGACUGAUGAUUAUCUGAAAUAGCAUUGCACACAAAUCAAUUAUCUAAUUAAUUAACAAACGGUGUAUUUAUUAUGAACAUUUUGAUAUUUGGGCACUUUGACUGCAUACGUGCUUACUGAUGGAUACAUGAUGAACUGCUUGUAUGACCUUUCAGUUACGGGGGCGUCUCCGUGGCCACUAAGACCGCCACUACCACAACAUCCAUAAAACUUGGUUGAGGAAUUUCUAGCUCAGUUAACAAGCCGAAGGUACGCAGGACCAAAAUGGUUAGCAGCAGCUCCACGACACCUCCCCGGGAGCUCGUCGUGCCGUCAGAAAUAUGUUUCAGUGGACAAGACAACAUACUUAGCCGGUACUUAUCUUGGAGAACAUCACGACAAGAGGAGACUGUAGCUCUGUCUUCAUUUUCCGGUCCAUUUUUCAUUAGCCCUCACCUCUCUCGCUCUUCCUUCUUUACUCUCCUUUUCACCAGCACCCUGAGGGGGAUUGUUGAAUUUCCCCUCCUCUAGGUAUCAUCCUCUGUGAGCUGCCAGAAUUUUUCCCACAGCUUUUGGCUUGAGAUCAGUGGAGCGGCCUGGGCAAAGAAGAAAAUAUAGAACUGGGACGUGGAGACAGACACAACCUCCCGCAGCAAUCUCCGCCUUAGCAAUUUUGAUAGUGGAGGUGGUGGUAUGGGUUACCUCUGUAAAACACUAUGAGGUCCUGAGCUUGUUCCCUGCGCAGCAGAGAGCACUCGCCUCUCCCUGCAUGACUCUCUCUUGACAGUCAGACAAACAGACAUCCAAUCUUGGGUUUGGAUGAUUACGCUGCUAUUGACCGUAACCUUAUCAUUCUGGUGUAAAGAAACAAUGUGAAAAAAAGGGGAGAAAACAAACCCAGAUCGUUGCAGAUCCGGGGCUGGCUCCAAGGCGCAGGUCUACAAAUUUAACCAGUCAGAUUUGCUGAGUAAAACUUGUUACCCCCUAAAAUCCGAACCCUUUUGUACCAAUGAAAGCUCUCUAGCUUACUAUUUAAAACCCCAACAUUUAUCAUAACUUUAAAGCUUUUUGGUCUAUUUUAUGCUCCAUGAGUCAUUUUAUUGAUUGGGCUGAUAACAAUGGCAGCCUUUAAGUGAAAUAUAAACUGCCAGCGAGAGAAGCUUAGCUUUCUCAUUAUUUAAAACCCAACGAAUCCAUCUAUGCCACUUUUGAUGGCUGUGGUUAGGGCUCGUAUUGGCACUUUAUUUGCUUGAACCAUGUUAAUAUAAAGCAAACAGAUCAAGUUGAUGCGUUUUUUGGCUCUACUGUCCGGUCACCUUCUCUUAAGAUUUCACAAAGCUGUAGAAGAGAGUCACACUAAUGGGACACAGGACAGGUUCGAAUUUACAUGAGCACAUCUUCCAUUGGUGGGUAAUGCAACUACCAAGAACCUGUGAUACUUUACAAAAAAAAGGGGUGCUCCUCUGUAGCCGAGGGAAUAAGGGGGUUACAGGGAGGAAUGUUGUUGUUUGCAGAAGAGGCUUUAAAUUUGGGCUGCUGAAUGCAAAUGAAUGCCUUUGAACUACACAGAAAUCUUAGAAAAAUACUUAAUAUAUUUUUUUAUUCUUUUUUGUGAAUAUCUUGCAAGCAGCAAAGGUUGGCAGAACGAGACUGUAGGUGAAAUAGAUUAAGAGGCUUGACUGUUAGUGAUCAAAAAUAUACAAUAACUACAACAAUCGCCUCUCUUGAGCCGUUUUCGACAAAACUAAAAAGGAAGAGCCCCUAAGUAGUGUCAGUCUUUUUUGCAUUAAAGGGCAUAUUUUUGUUAUUGAAGAGGAACCUCUAUCAGGGAAGUGCAGGCAAUUACACCAAAUGCUCCCAUGCAUGAAAUCCCAGCUGGUUGUUAUUGAUAAAUUUCCAAACACCUCCAAAGACUUUUCAAAUUACCUCUCUCCCUUAUUAAAACUUAACUCAUGCAUUUCAGAGCCCCCUUCCAUACACAUUUGUUUUUUUUCCCUUUUUUUUUUUGAGCGAGUGUUUAUGUGUGCACGAGCAAGCAGGAAAAUAUGCUUGCAAUAAAGUGCGCGAGAAAGACAGAGGAAGAGAGACAGAGAGAGAGAGAAAGGAUGUAGCAUUGGAGUGCUGGACAAACAGACACCAUCCAUUUAUCUCUUCCUAAAGUACCUAUAUGGCAGGGCUGCGUUAUUAGUAGGGAUGCUGUAAGCCGAACAUAUUUUGAGUCUCUUCUGUAUUCAAGCAGCAUACUUCUGCAUUAACACAAGUCAUUUCUCUUUACAUGGCCCAAUGAGAUUCCCUUUAAAACGAAGGUCAAAUGAAUUGGCAUACUCCAAGGGUAAAGCAACCUCACUGUCUCCUUCCUAAAUGUUCCCUUGCUUUGGUGUCAUCUCUCAAGGGUGGAUCCAAUCAUUAAAAAUGACAUCUUAAUUCUGAGUGGAGAUAAAUGGAAUGCCUAAAUUCAAAUGAAUAAGUAUGUGCUUUUAGACGCUCAAAAUAUACACAAUUCAAUUAGUAGACUAUUAUAUCGACCAGCCCCCAUAACCCACCCCUGUAAUCACACAGCGCAUUUACUAUAAAAGGGGUUACAAUGCUUUUACUGGCUCGUUCAUCUCUUAUUUAAAAAAAAUAAUGUGUAUUUACUCUCACCAAAGAGUGAAAACCUGGCAGUUCACGCAGGAUUCCUGGACAACCUGCACACAGGAGUAAGACAGACCUCCACAUGUUGCUUCUGCUCUUGAACCGGUCCUGCCCUGCAGCCUAAGCCUUUGGCAGAUAAGAACAUACCGCCAUGAACAGAUUUAAAUGUAAAUGUAGCUCCUUCAUGAGUAACGACAGAGUUGUGACUGCGACAAGCCUUUAUUACAGCGUAUUUAAUCAUCUCAUUGGGCCACAGAUUAAUAGCGGAGGGAAAAUUAAAUGCAUCUUCGCACACUUCAAAAAUGGAUUUUGUGAGACUUAAAAAAAAUAAUUAAAAGGUGCAAUAUGAUUAAAAUGACACAGCAUGUUGUCCUCAAAUAUUUACGGGGGGUAAAUAUUUAUCAAGAAAGUGUUCAGCUUUCAUCAUCAUCAGGGCUACUAUAGAAACAAGCACAUUAAACUCUGAGGUAUGUGAAUGUUCCCCUAAAAGCAUAAUAAUGACACAUGCUUUGAUGACAGAGCACUCCGUAGAUGUGUGGAAAUGCUACAUAAAACCGCAGCCUGCUUUUAGACACUUCCUCGAUGUGUCACAAAGAUGUACUUACAAGGCCUCGCUGGUAAUAAAUUAUGCAUUCCUCUCACGCGCCACCCGUCCAGUCUUUGGAGACGGAAAGACAUAAAACCACAAGACCUCUCCCCCUCGCAAUGUACCAGCCACGUUUACAGAAAGUAAACGGCCCUAGUGCCACGCGGCGACGCAAGGCGGCAGGCUGCCACUUCUGACUGGUCUGUGGGCGACGGAGGUGUCUGGUUGGAUCAGUAUGCAUCGGGCGUGUGGAGUCACGGAGGGGCCCGGUGUCUAUCCUGACAGAGCACAGGUGGGAAGAGUGAGUGUGCUAACAAAAAGGCAGGUUUCCUUUCAUGCAAUGACACUCAACCUGUCAUCCAAACAAUAUGUCACUUGCAGUUUUAUUCUUUCUUUUUUUUUUGCUCCCCCGCCUGAUUUUCUCCCUGUAAAAGGUGGCGGUGUAAAGUGGUGGUGAUCGUCGAGUGAGAUGUUAAAAGGAGCACAUGCUUCCGUUGUGAAGGACGACAAACUAACAAAAGAGGACAUGAUGGAUGAUUUUUUUUUUUUAAUCCUUAAUUUGCUGGAUGAGUUCACUGAGAACAUAUUCUUAUUCAUGAUGGCAACACGGGGGAUCAGUAGCCGAGGGAACAAGAGUAAUACAUGGCGGCAUAGCUAGAAGCAAUAAUGGAUUUCUUAACAGAAGCUAAACACCUGUGGCUCUAAUCACAGGACUGGAUUUUGAGUAUUUGAUGGCAAUGACAAGAACAAUACUUAUUAAUAGCAACAGUAGCUUCAUUUUGAACGUAGUAUUGCAGCCGCCAAUUAGCCCGUAGCACUACUGCAAACACAGCUCUUGGCGUUUACCCAUAUCUUUAACUGCCUCAGCCGCUGACUGCUUUGAGGCGAUAUUUUUAUAUUAGAGAGCCGCUCUGAUUCAUGUUUGACCUCCCUGCCACAGCAUCUCUUUUGAAUGCAGUGCUGGCAGAAUAAUAAAUGCUCUUGGUUGGUAAAAAGGAUAAGAAAGUAAAUCCAGAAAAGGUUCACGUAGAUGUAAUAUAAAAAGCAUGAAGAAAAACUACAAACGGAUUGGCAGUUUAUUCCUCCACAUCAGCUGGGGUGAAAGGGAAAUUGGAAUACUGAAUAUUUGUCUGUGAACACACUUCAAAUGAUUUGCAUGGCUUACAGUGUUAGAAUCCUAUUUUUACAAUCAAUGGUUUAGGCCGAACGUUUCUAACUUUAGGCAUUUCGCUAAAUACAACCUGAAUCCUGUGUGUAUCUAUCAAUGCAAAUGGGAUUUAUUUAUUUCACAAUAUCAAUAUAUUCUUUCUGAAGUUAAUUUCUGACAUUUUCUGGUCAAUAACAUGAUGUGGUCCAAUAAUGACAGGAACAAUAUGUAUUACCUUGCUCCCAUCCUCCACAAAAUGUAUGCAUUGUAUAAAAUCUAUAUUGAAUGCCAUGACUGAUAAGCGACCGCUUGCCUCUAACAAAAGCAGACGCCAGAUUGCAUGUCUCAUCGAUGGUGCACUCCAUUUAACAUGAGCUGACAGACAGAUUGCAAUUUGUUUUACACACAGCCUUUAUGACAGCGUCCUUUACCAUCCAGAAAACACAAUAUUAUGUAGGUACUUAGUGCAGGGUUUUUGCUGAAUACAUUUCCCUCUUGACCUUGAGACAAGGUGCCAUAUAUUAUGCCAUUAGCCUCGCAAAAAUUACAUUUCUGUGUGUCCUUGGAUCAAUGAUUAAAGUUACAGCUGUUGACGUGUUGGUGAUGUAUACAUGAUUGCUCCACUAGCUGCCUUCAUGAUACGGUCUAUGUAGCCCCCUGGCACCAGCCACCCAACCAUUCCCUACUUGCUGUGUGCUGCUCCCUGCGUCCAAUACCAUUCCUUAUGUAUAUUUACAUAUAAUCCUAUGUUGUCAGGCUACAUCAAGCUACAUGACUUGAGAGUCAUACCCAUGCUGUGCUUGGGCUCUGAUGUACAACUUAUCCAUAUCUUGUUGCAAAAGCACUGCGCUGCAUUGUCAGAUCACAUCAUGGUAGGCGCAUGCAGUCAUACAUUAGUUACACAAGGGGGCUAAAGCAGCUAGAGUUGCUCUCCUCUCCCAGGGAGCCGUCCCUGCUUUAUAAGUACGCCUGACUUGACAUCAUUAAACCUUGGCGGCAACUGCAGUGAACCAUGUAGUGGUUUUGGUUUCCAACCGUUCUGUCGGAUUCCAUAACAGGGUUUUUCACCCGACACAUCCGUCAAAGAAAAUUACUCUUAUUUAAAAAGUCAAUAUCAUAAGUUAAUUUCAAAACAGAAGUCAAUAUACAAAAUAUUUUACUUCCUCAGGUUCUUUCUAUCUAUAGGCUCUAUGUCUAUUUAGUACCCAAAUAAGACACCUGCAUUUGCUAACUUUUAAAGCUUCGCAGCACCAACAAGGAGACUGUUUGCGACUAGCCGGCGAAUAGAAUGCAGCAUUUAGCAUUUAAAUGAGCAGAUAUUUCCCUCAGGAGAUAGACACCAGUGAAUAUUGAACUUCCAUUCAUCAGGUGUCCAAAGAAAUGAUUCAAACAAAUACGGUAAACUUGCACCAUACCUGCUGGAUUUGUAAAUAAGCACCGUUUUUGCUGAAAGGGUCACACCAUCAACUUUAUAGUAUGCUGUCUUGUCAAUGUUACAUACAUAUCCAAGGAAAUCAGUUUUGUCCCUAAGAAUCUUUGGAUUAUCACGCAAAAAAAGUAUCAAUACCCUCCUACUGGGAAAUGGGAUAAUACAAACAUUAAACAUUAAACUGAAUAAAAUAAGGCAAAAUGCUUUUAGACAUGGAUUUGAAGGUUGUGCUAAGACUUCCCUUGUCUAUAAAUAGAAGAGGCUUCCUUUUUUAAAUUUGAUGUUGUGCUACAAAGGCAAAAGUGAAUACCUUGUUUGGCUUAUUGUAGAUUCAGUCAGGCCUUUGAGACACUGGCCUCCUCUGAAUUACCUUCCAUUAGAAAAAUCCCUGGGGAAGCCCUGUGUGAGAACAGAAACGCCAACCUAAAGUAGACAGAAGUGCCAAUCGCCUUCUGCUGUGGGAAUUGUAAGACAUUGCAUUAAAAGUAUACAUAAAUAAAAACAAAUACAAGUAUGGCCUUGAUUCUCAAAUUCAGCUUUGAUAGUGUUAGGGACAUGUAUAGUGGGGCACAGCCUGAACAAUUAUGCAUCUUUCUGUUUACCCCCUUGCAUUCAGGGAGGGACCCAAGUGUUAUUUUCAAAAAAAAAUUGAUAAGUAGCGAAACCUCAGCUUGUUUCCGAUUCAGUGAACCGUGUACAGCUUAAAAGAUAUAUGGAAAUUGGAUCUCAAUGGGAAUAUUAGGAGAACUUUUAAUAUCAUGGCGAAAUGCCAAACCUUAAGAUGCAAAAUGUCAUCUUUUACCGAAGAAAAGCAAAGCUGACAUCGAGAAAAGCUGCAAUGGAAAUUGAAGAAAAUCGCUUGUCUUCAUAUUUGAUAAGAUAAUGACUUUUUUGGAAGUACCACAAUGAGAGGUGUACUGUGUACAUGUUUAACUCCGCCAUGCGUGACGGGAUUGCCUUAAUUUCACCGUUUGCUUUUUGCUUGUUUACAACCUGAGAGUAAUUAAAAAAAAAAAAAUGGUCGGCUCCCAAAAGGAAGAAGCCCAUUAAAUUCUCCGACCCUACUUCCGUAAAAGGCCACCCUGCGGUUAACCUUUGUUCGCAUGGCACCCUGCCUGGGUAGUUAGCGCUGUUGACCCAUAGAGCAAUGUCCUGGCCUUAAACCCCUCUGUGACUGACACGAGUUACAGAAAUACACCUGGUAUACUAAUAGAAAUACUGCCGUGCAGCCACGACCAACUCAGCAGCUACAAGACAGCCUUUGUUUUUACUCUCGUUUGUUGGGAUGGGUUCAACUUUGAAAGAUGAAUUUUUAAACUGACUAAUAACAGUAGUUUGAAAUACUUUUUAGUUGCAAGUAUUCGACACUCAAAACCCAAUGUGAGUAUUCCUUCCAGAAUGAAAGAGGGGCUUAACUCCAAUGAUAUCACAAACCAUACUAAAACCAUUUAACCAACCAUAACUGAAAUCACCACUGUUGUACACACAGAUGGCAACAAUAACUUUGCCCUCUAUUUGUGAUUCUUGGUGACAUCUGGGGAAUCUCAACGCCUGUAGGCUUUUGUAACAGUGUCCUGCUGAUUUGUAGAUAUUUGCAUCGACAGCCAUGCCACAAGUAGCUAGCACGAUCAUACCCUAUUAAUUAUCUUUUUCGAUGGGUAACUUUUUCAAAAGUACAUUUGAUGCUAACUGAUAUAUAAUUCCACAAACUGAUCAAACUAGUGUUGACGUAAUACCCGUCAAAGGUAUUCAUCCACUGGGAAACAUAGUUAGUCUCACAGCAAUCAAUCCCACUCGAGGACAUUCAGGGGAUUACUAAAGGUACUAGGAUCAAUUGUCUGGGAAUGUAUGUACCACAUUUUGAGCCAAUCCAUGAUGUAGAUGUUAAGAUAACUCCCUCAUUUUGAAGUGAUCACAUCGACCUGCCAGUGACACUGAAGGACAUGUCGAGAAAUCUCCACUGUCAAUAGGAUUUUUCCUCUGGGAACAAUGACUGUGUGGAGAGGCAAUCCAUCCCAUAGUCAUUGACGUAUGUCAGUUUGGACCAAAGCAGUGAACCAACAGACUACGUCACUACCAUCCCCAGACCCAUUUAGCCUCUUCACCACAGCGGAUAAUGUAAGGUCGUCCAUCUUUACAUAAACGUAGCAGCAAGGUUGCACGCAUCCUACAUAAAAAGAGACAGUAAUAAUAAAAUCCAGGGCGGCAAAAUGCCAAGCAGAAAGAGGUAGUUCCAAAACUAGAGUGAAAUGCAGUUGGCUUUCACUCACUAGAAUGCACCCUAAGCCCGGCAAGGCGAGUUUAUUGGUAUAGCACGUUUCAAUACGGCAAGUGCUUCACAUAAAACUAUCAAAACCUAAGGCACAAGUAAGGGAAAACAAUGUAAAAACCAUUAAGCAUUAACUGAAAACAGACAACACAAUAAAAUUUAAAAUAGAAUAAAAGUUGCAGUGUAGUUUAUGAAAUAAACAGUAAAAAGCUCUUCCUCUUCAUCCUUCAAUUUGGUUAAAUUAAAAGCAGCAGCAAACACAAAUGUCUUCCGUCUUAAUAUGAAGCAGACCUGCAGCUUUCUGGAAGUGAAUUCCAGAUAUUUAGAGUGUAAAAACUGAACGCUGCUUCUCCCUCUUUGGUUCCCACUGUGGGAAGCGAAAGGAGACCCGUCCCACAGAGCCAACGCAGGAGGUCCCGCUCACAAACCCAACUCUGUUUCUCUCAGUGGCAAUAUGCAUACAAUUGAGUGAUAUCUUGUUAAGAGAUGUUCAAAACAAUACGUUACUGACACUUCAUUAGAAUUCUUUGUUUGCCACCUCAAGGUGAGCAUUAGGAAAUGAAAUAAUUAUCAUUAUGCAGUGGGCAGAAAGGAGCUGUUAUUGUCUCGAGAAAGACAACCUUUUGUUUGUUUAUCUGUUGUGGAUGGACAAGAGUGUAGACUAAUCGUUUUUCAUAGUCUGUAUCAUGACCUGUCCCUGGGACAUCCAUUUAUAUUUCUGUCUAUCUAUUUACCAACUGUGGCGAUAAAAAUAACUGUAGGAAUCUUAAUCAACAUAACACGCUCCGAUGAAUAAAAACAUUAUUCUUGACUUGAUGACCCUGAGUGUUUUUUUUACUGUUAACUUUGGGUAAAGAUAAAGUUUUUUAAACAGAAAAAAUAAGUUGUAAAUCAGAAGCCCCAUCCCCCGAUCCCCCACCUGCCCUCUAGUGCAUACAGUCUGAUUAUGUAAAAUAUAUGCUGUUUACUAUUCAGCAGAGUUAUGCUUUGGGCCUCACCUACUUGAUCUGCCUUGUCUAUCACGCUCUCUACUGAAAGAUUUAUUAAAAGAAUAAUAGAUUGUUCAUCAAACACGAGGUGUCAGUUUUUUGUGUUUAAUCAUAAGGUGUGAAAGCUGUGCUCAAUCACAGGCCAUUCCUUAACCUCUUGCCGCUGAAUGUGGUUGAGCUUGUUUUUGCUGACACAUCGAAGGUCAAUCCACAACCAAUUGUUGAGAAUUGAAAAAUGGGUCCAUAAACUAAGUAACUGUGAUACUAUUGUGUGUGUGUGUGUGUGUGUGUGUGUGUGUGUGUGUGUGUUUUGGCUUUGUAACUUAUUGUGAACAUGUUGCUCGGUAGAUGGCUAGUGCCAAAUAUUUAGUCACAACGUCUGCUCUUCCAUUAAAGACUAGUAGUUCAAAUAGAUUUAUCAAUUUCACAAAGGGCUGUGAGCUACGUGGGGCUGAAAGAACCCACCUACUUUGUGUAAUUUAUUCAUCCCUCGUACAACUAUUGACAUGUAAAAUGAUGAACGCUUCCAAUGUGAUUGUGCAAUAGGAACAAAUGGAAAAGUUCGAGUUCGUGCCCUGUUUCCCGAGAUGUCGGUCGUUGUUUGGAGACUUCCCUGUGGAUACCUACGAGAGACUUUUCCCUUUGGAUUAUUGAGAGUUUCCUUUUUUCCGUUGAACUGUGAGUGCCCAUGGACUAAGGGAUUUUGAGUUGUUUCUUUUGUUUUCCCCUGCCAAUUAAGGAGGCAGUUUUUUUUUGUUUGUUCCUCGGAACCUUACGCUCUUUAAUUCUUGUGAAAGAAUAAACUACGCCGUGUUUUUGGCUGAACGUAAACUCUGUCUGGUGUCGUGCACUCGGGGACGAAGACAAACCAUAACAAGGAGGCCCUUAAAGUACCGUUCUUUACUGUUCCUCCAGCCAGGUCGGACUGUAAAUCAAGACAACAAGAUUCAUACAAUUCUCUCCAGUCCCUAAAAGAUUUAGUAUUUGUUCUUUGUGGCACAUUUUUUUAGCUAUUUUAUAUUGUCAACAAUUUCCAAUGACAUAACACAACGGGAAGGAGAACAAUCUAAAUAUUGAGAAGCUGGUAUCAGACAGUACAAAAGUAUUCUGACCAGCCAUCUGUUGAUAAAGGAGAGACACAAGACUUCAACAACAAAGGAAAAUAAAAUGACUCCUGCAUCGUCUUUGAAGCUUACACGAACACCUAUACCUCCGGCUGUUGAGCGUUUCUUUUUUUCUUUCUCUCUUGCGACUGCAUUUAAUAACAUUUGAAACUGUGGCUUGACUCACCAAGCCCACAUAUCUACCUGUGAGGAAUGAGUCAUUUCUCAGUAAUACACGAAACACCAACUCAUGCACAAGUCACUGUCUCAUUAAUCCAUUUUCUGGACAUACUGCAUGCCUUCGAAAUACUGAUACUGAUAUGUGAAAAUGAAUUUACAUUGGCCUAAGAUACAGUACAUUGUUAUUGGAGCUAGAAGAGUGGAUAAUUGUUGUCUGGAUAUGGGUUGCUUUAUCGUUCGGUCUCUUUUUUCACAAUGAGACAACAAAGUCGGUCUAAUGGUGCAUAUUGUAUUCAUGAUUGAAUGUAUUUCAUUAACUUAUAUAACAUUAAUACAAGAGUGCUUUGCUCAAUGAAACUCAUAUAAAAAGGGUCUCAGUGACAGGAACAAAAAAAAAGGAUUCAGGUGGUUCAACGCAAGUGUAGUACAGAUACCAACUUAGAAUGUCCAGGGUAUUUUGUUCACUUUUUUCACUAUGUGAAACACUAUGUGUUUUUAAACCCAAAUUAGCAAAAUAUAUAGAUAUGCUAAACUAUACUAUAAUUAAGGUUUUACGCCUUCUCUCUAAAAGGACCAUUUUAUAAAUACAGUUUGUACCGACAUUGUUAUCUUACAUAAUUGUUCAUGAGUCAGUCACAUGUCCGCUUUUAAACCACAUCAUGUCAAUAAUUUAAUUUAAAUUUUUACAGUUAUGGUUAUUUAGAAUCUUUAGAUUCUCAUUAAUUUUAAAAGGAUGUUGUUAGGGGGGGCAGGGCCGAAACACAGGUGCACUCCUCAGAGUCCAGAUCCUCUCUUGCCGUUUUGGGCGGUUGAAUUAAUACAGCCCAUAGUUUGUCUAGACACCCGGCUAGACACUAGGAAUCUAAGGUGUCGUAACACACACUUCUCCAAUAACUGGCGGUGUAGGGAAACAUUGAAUAACACCACCGAUACAACUGGCCAAAAACUUAGAUCAAACUCACCUAACGGUCCGUCAGCCUAGCAGCGGCUGAGUUGCAGAGGGGUACGGCAUUGUGUGUAGUUAAAUUAGUUGUUCUGGGUUAACCCAUUUUACAAAACAAGACGGAUGGACAGAUGCACUUACACGUUCACAAAAGUACGAGCAGGCGACUGCACGGUCAUCCUGGCGGAGCAAACAACUAAAUCAAAGUUUCGCUUGAGCUUAUUUUGCCCUCUUCCAUCAAUAAAACCAAUCCAGGAUACGUUCUGUCUCCACUACCUGCAGGCAGACACAAUCUGUAUGCUGACCACCGUUGAAUGCUGACAGGUGUCAACAUCCGCUGGCUUGACAUUUCUGUCAUUAAGAAGCAGCUGUUCCUUUUCACAGCCCCAACAAAGCUCGCCAGCAAGCUCUGAUUCCUUCUCUUUAAAGUAACCAACGCAUCCCUUGGUAGUUUAAUCUUCACACAUAAUCCAAAAUUGAAACUGAAGCCUCAGGUGUAGAGAGAGGGAACUCAACAGUAACUGUAGACGUUUGACUGGUACUGGGAGUAGAAGAUGGAAGCCAUCCGUUUCAUGCUGUAACCACAAGUGAAUUGCACUCCCAAUUUGGAUUUGGAAAUUAAAAAGAGAAUUUAUUCUGAAAUUCAAUCAAAUAGUCCACCGAAGCAAGGGGGUGUCAGUGUGUAAAAGGAGAAAGCUAAAGCUCUUUUGUGUAGCUAAAAGUGACUCAGACUCCAGAUUGCACAUUGUUAUCUAUAAGUGACUAUAAGUGAGGAUAGAAAGGGUAGAUCAAUAGUUAUAAAUAUCUGGGUCAAACUGUUUACUUUAGUAAAGAGGAUAAAUUUAAGAAUUCUGAAUGCUGGUAUAGAAGGUAGGCAGGGUCACAGUCUACACACGCAGACAUGCAGCAGGUAACAGCACAGUCUCCUGAGGCAGCGCUACACUUCUCUGCUGCUUGUCUGACACACCCCUCUCGAGACAAACAUAGCGUGGCCUGCGCUUGUUUUCUGUAAUAUACGGAACGAUACCGUUGUCCUUGUGCAUCACUGAGCCUCUCUGGGCAGGAGGGGCCGGACGUCUUCUUUUCUCUCUGAGCUUUUAGCCUCUUCACAUGAGUGUAAACAGCGCACAGCAGGUACAGUGAACAUCAUAUCGCUCUUGACCACACAAGUACUCCCUCUUACAUUUGUGUUGUACCACAUGGGGGGCUGUAACCUGAUGCCUUCAUGUGUCAAACACAAUGCUGUUGAUGUGCACCGUAAUCGUGAAAGUAUAGAAAAAAAAUGGGAUACGUCCUGUGUAAUCAGGAAAGAAAUGAGGAGCAUUGAAUGAAGAAAUCCCGAGACGUUGAACACUGAUGCAACAUUGUUUGUGCUGCACCACCAAGGAAAAUGGAAAGCUUGGUUGCAUUUGGAGAUGAACCGAUAUUGGAUAUUAUAUUUCAUUUCAAAAAGAAGAAAGCAAUGUUUUAGUCAAGACCAAUGUACACAUACAAGAAUGAUCCAAGUCACCUCCAGAGAGUGAGGCAUAAAGCAUAAUGACUGGUUUAAAAACAACGAGGUUUAAAAACAACCCAAUACAAUAUAAAAACAUUUAAUGAUUUAAUGUUUUUCACACCAGCCACAACGACAAAUCAGGCCAAUGGCCCCUUACUAAUUUUCUAUCGCCCUACUUCUGCUACACUUGCUGACAAAGCAACCAUUUACAAAUGCUACCUGACAAUUUUAUCUCAGCUACACACCUGUAAAAUGUUGGUCCUGCAUCUGACACGGUGUUGAGAAUACCAAAUGGACAGAAUGGUUCCACAGAAAUACAAACACCAGGCAACUGCAGUAGCUCCCGCCACAAUCUUGUGUCUCCAGCACCACAUUUUGCCAUGAUGACACAAAAGCCGCUUUCACACACAUAAUCUUGUAUACUACCGUAAAGGAGAUCCUCCGUUACACCUGCUUUGUUUUCUCUGAGUGUACUGAACAAACAGUUGCAUUAUGUGUGUGAUUCCGGAUAGCACUCCAAAAUCAAAAGCGGUAGGGUGUUUAACACAGCAGCGUUGGCGUUCGGCCGCGCCGGCUCCUUUUCAUAAAGACGUCAGCUUGGCUCGGUGACUACCUACGCAGCCUGCUCAGCGGCAGAAACAACUCCUCCCUCCCAUUGUGCCUGAAUAACGGAGGAAAUAUUCUGCCUUGCACAGGCAGUGUGAGAGGUACUAGCACCUCACCAUGUGAAAAGAAUACCAGCGCCGCUCUCACGGUUGAUAACACAUUGUUUACAACGCCAAGGGUACCUUCAACACCUGCUUGCACUGUUUUCUACAGUUUCAUGUUUCUGUGAAGCACCUUUUAAUAUAGUAUUCUCCAUGGGUAUUUAAAAGGUGGAGAAUUAAUCUUUUUAUUGGCUUGUUGCAGUGAUUCAGAAUGCUGCAGCACGUGUAUUAACAAGAACUAAGAAAAGGGAUCAUAUCACUCCUGUAUUAACUUCUCUGCACUGGCUCCCUGUUAAAUCAAGAAUAGAUUUUAAGGUACUUCUCCUCACCUACAAGGCACUUGCUGGUGAGGCACCGUUGUAUCUUCAAGAGCUUGUAACACCGUAUUGCCCUACAAGGCAACUGCGCUCCAUAGAUGCUGGGUUACUUGUUGUUCCUAUGGUUUUAAAAAGUAGGCUGGGGGCCAGAGCCUUCAGUUAUCAAGCUCCUCUUUUGUGG